GACGAACGCUGGCGGCGUGCUUAACACAUGCAAGUCGAGCGGUAAGGCCCUUUCGGGGGUACACGAGCGGCGAACGGGUGAGUAACACGUGGGUGACCUGCCCUCAGCUCUGGGAUAAGCCUGGGAAACCGGGUCUAAUACCGGAUAUGACUCCAUGACGCAUGUUGGUGGGGUGGAAAGCCUUGUGCGGCUGAGGGAUGGGCCCGCGGCCUAUCAGCUUGGUUGGUGGGGUGANGGCCUACCAAGGCGACGACGGGUAGCCGGCCUGAGAGGGCGACCGG
rnacentral:rRNA from 1 species